CUCUCAAGCUCCUCAAACUUUCCACUCCCCAGUCUCAACUGUAAUCGCCUGUCAGUGGGAGUGAAGAAAGGGAAGGACGGGGAGGAAAUGAAGAAAACACAAACAAGACUCCUCUUCUGAAGCUGCUGAAAUAACUCUUCUUAUUGAACACUCUACCCUAGGGCUGCCGGCUGGCAGUUGGAAGAAAAGGAAAAAGGAAGGGUAAAAAGAUGACAAGGGUAUCAGUCUAGAGAUGGAAUGAAGACAUAAAAAGGCUACUCAGUGGUAGUAGUGACUCUGCGCUACCUCCUAGGCAGCCCAGUCCCACAGAGACCCAGCGGUUGGCCAGAAGGACUAUGUACUGGCAGCUUUCACAAAAGUGGACUUUGUUGGGUCUGAGGAGUCUUGAUCAUCAAGUGUGAAACUUGGUGCAUAAGCAUUUGUAUCACACCAUUUCAACACUGUUCCUAGUAUCAUAAAGCUGUUCAAUGUCCAAAACCUGGUGACUUACAAUGCAUUUAGAAGGUACUCAUUAAUAAAAGUAUCUUCAAAAACCA